GAUGAAGAACGCAGCGAAAUGCGAUACGUAAUGUGAAUUGCAGAAUUUAGUGAAUCAUCGAAUCUUUGAACGCAUAUUGCGCUCUCUGGUAUUCCGGAGAGCAUGCUUGUUUGAGUAUCAGUAAACACCUCAACUCCCUUUUCUUUUUUGAAAUUGGAGCUGGACUUGAGUGAUCCCAACGCUUUCUUCCAAGAAAGUGGCGGGUUGCUUGAAAUGCAGGUGCAGCUGAACUUUUCUCUGAGCUAUAAGCAUAUCUAUUUAGUCUGCCUAAAAAACAGAUUAUUACCUUUGCUGCAGCUAACAUAAAGGAGACUAGUUCUUGUGCUGACUGAUGCAGGAUUCACAGAGACAGCUUCGGCUGACUUUGUAAACUCGAUCUCAAAUCAAGUAAGACUACCCGCUGAACUUAAGCAUAUCAAUAAGCGGAGGA
rnacentral:misc_RNA from 1 species